rnacentral:lncRNA from 1 species
GAACAAGCCUGGAUCCUCUCCAUCCACUGCUUUCUUUCUCAACAUGUGACCUCUCCCCCUUUCCGUCAUGUGUAGAUGCUCCAACCACGAGAUGUUGUCACCCAGCCAGAAAGUCCUCAUCAGACCAUCCAGAAGCCGAAGCCUACUUUUGGAAUAUUUAGCUAAAACACAUGUUCAAGUGACCUUGCAAGCAAGGAUGCCGGAAAUGAUUGUUUUGUUUUCUGGAAGCCAACAGGAUCAUCUUUGUUCACUCUGUGCUCAGAUCUGUGUCUCCUUUGGUAUGUGUUCAUUUCCAUCCAGUUUAUCAGGCAUGUGCUUAUUUCUGUAAUUAUGGAAGCCUGUAGCAGUCCUGAGACAUCGUCACUCCAUCUUUUGGAAAUAGAAGCUUUCUCCUCCACUUUGGACCAGAAGGAUUUUGUAUUUUCCUACUCUCAGAACUCUGCUGACUCAAUUCCACUGCAUCAACUACCCCAUGAUAAACAAAGCCUUGUUUGACCUUGUCUCGUUGGUCACAGAAAAAAUGCAAGACAUAGGCUUGGAGAAACGCAUACAGUCUGUUUGCUGAACUUUUUAUUCUAUUAAAGUACCGUUUGCUUGUUUUUACAUCAACAGGUCAAAUUGACUCUUACUUUCUGAUACGGAUAUUCCAUCCCCUCUGCUUACUGUUUGACUGAGCUUUGAUUAUUUGAAAAUUUCUGGACUGUUAUGUAUGGGGUAUGUUACACAUAUAUUCAACAUACAAACAUCUAAUGCACACACAUUUCCAUUCUCUAGCUAUGUAGCCUCACAUGA